rnacentral:rRNA from 1 species
AGUGAACGCUGGCGGUAGGCCUAACACAUGCAAGUCGAACGGCAGCACAGUAAGCGCUUGCUCUUACGGGUGGCGAGUGGCGGACGGGUGAGGAAUACAUCGGAAUCUACUUUUUCGUGGGGGAUAACGUAGGGACACUUACGCUAAUACCGCAUACGACCUACGGGUGAAAGCAGGGGAUCUUCGGACCUUUCGCGAUUGAAUGAGCCGGUGUCGGAUUAGCUAGUUGGCGGGGUAAAGGCCCACCAAGGCGACGAUCCGUAGCUGGUCUGAGAGGAUGAUCAGCCACACUGGAACUGAGACACGGUCCAGACUCCUACGGGAGGCAGCAGUGGGGAAUAUUGGACAAUGGGCGCAAGCCUGAUCCAGCCAUACCGCGUGGGUGAAGAAGGCCUUCGGGUUGUAAAGCCCUUUUGUUGGGAAAGAAAAGCAGCAGGUGAAUACCCCGCUGUUCUGACGGUACCCAAAGAAUAAGCACCGGCUAACUUCGUG